rnacentral:rRNA from 1 species
AUGAUUAGCGCAAAUAUCUUAGCAUGGAAUGUUCGAGGGCUUAACAACCCUGCCCGUCGUGGGGUGGUCAGAAAUGUUGUACUGUUGCAUAGCCCAGCAAUUAUCUGCCUGCAAGAGUUGAAGCUAGCAGUGGUUGACAGUAUGAUCAUUAGUCAAGUCUGUGGUCCAAAGUACACAGAGUUCUUAUUCGAGCCUGCUUUGGGUACUAGAGGUGGUUUAAUUGUGGCUUGG